rnacentral:rRNA from 1 species
UACAGAGGCCUCGAGCGUUUAGGCGGAAUCACUGGGCUUAAAGCGUGUGUAGGCGGACUUCUAAGUACCUUGUGAAAUCCCACGGCUCACCCGUGGAACUGCUUGGUAUACUGGUCGUUCUUGAGCCUUCUAGGGGCGAGUGGAACAAAUGGUGGAGCGGUGAAAUGCGUAGAUAUCAUUGGAACGCCAAUGGCGAAGGCGAGUCCCUGGACAACACCUGACACUGAGGCACGAAAGCUAGGGGAGCAAACAGG